rnacentral:sRNA from 1 species
CACGUCGGUGUCCUCCGAAGCCGACGUUUGCAACAC